rnacentral:rRNA from 1 species
UACAGAGGUCUCAAGCGUUGUUCGGAUUCAUUGGGCGUAAAGGGUGCGUAGGUGGCGCGGUAAGUCGGGUGUGAAAUUUCGGAGCUUAACUCCGAAACUGCAUUCGAUACUGCCGUGCUUGAGGACUGGAGAGGAGACUGGAAUUUGACGGUGUAGCAGUGAAAUGCGUAGAUAUCGUAAGGAAGACCAGUGGCGAAGGCGGGGUCUCUGGACAGUUCCUGACACUGAGGCACGAAGGCCAGGGGAGCAAACGGGG